CCGGCGCGGCUACCAUGCAGUCGAGCGAACCUUCGGGUUAGCGGCGGACGGGUGAGUAACGCGUGGGAACGUACCCUCUUCUGCGGGAUAGCCACUGGAAACGGUGAGUAAUACCGCAUACGCCCUUCGGGGGAAAGAUUUAUCGGAGGAGGAUCGGCCCGCGUUGGAUUAGGUAGUUGGUGGGGUAAUGGCCUACCAAGCCUACGAUCCAUAGCUGGUUUUAGAGGAUGAUCAGCCACACUGGGACUGAGACACGGCCCAGACUCCUACGGGAGGCAGCAGUGGGGAAUCUUAGACAAUGGGCGCAAGCCUGAUCUAGCCAUGCCGCGUGAGUGACGAAGGCCUUAGGGUCGUAAAGCUCUUUCGCCAGAGAUGAUAAUGACAGUAUCUGGUAAAGAAACCCCGGCUAACUCCGUGCCAGCAGCCGCGGUAAUACGGAGGGGGUUAGCGUUGUUCGGAAUUACUGGGCGUAAAGCGCACGUAGGCGGAUUGGAAAGUUGGGGGUGAAAUCCCAGGGCUCAACCCUGGAACUGCCUCCAAAACUCCCAGUCUGGAGUUCGAGAGAGGUGAGUGGAAUUCCGAGUGUAGAGGUGAAAUUCGUAGAUAUUCGGAGGAACACCAGUGGCGAAGGCGGCUCACUGGCUCGAUACUGACGCUGAG
rnacentral:rRNA from 1 species